rnacentral:rRNA from 1 species
GAUGAACGCUAGCUACAGGCUUAACACAUGCAAGUCGAGGGGCAGCAUGGUCUUAGCUUGCUAAGGCCGAUGGCGACCGGCGCACGGGUGAGUAACACGUAUCCAACCUGCCGUCUACUCUUGGACAGCCUUCUGAAAGGAAGAUUAAUACAAGAUGGCAUCAUGAGUCCGCAUGUUCACAUGAUUAAAGGUAUUCCGGUAGACGAUGGGGAUGCGUUCCAUUAGAUAGUAGGCGGGGUAACGGCCCACCAAGACAACGAUGGAUAGGGGUUCUGAGAGGAAGGUCCCCCACAUUGGAACUGAGACACGGUCCAA